AGUGGCGGACGGGUGAGUAAUGUCUGGGAAACUGCCUGAUGGAGGGGGAUAACUACUGGAAACGGUAGCUAAUACCGCAUAACGUCGCAAGACCAAAGAGGGGGACCUUCGGGCCUCUUGCCAUCAGAUGUGCCCAGAUGGGAUUAGCUAGUAGGUGGGGUAACGGCUCACCUAGGCGACGAUCCCUAGCUGGUCUGAGAGGAUGACCAGCCACACUGGAACUGAGACACGGUCCAGACUCCUACGGGAGGCAGCAGUGGGGAAUAUUGCACAAUGGGCGCAAGCCUGAUGCAGCCAUGCCGCGUGUAUGAAGAAGGCCUUCGGGUUGUAAAGUACUUUCAGCGGGGAGGAAGGGAGUAAAGUUAAUACCUUUGCUCAUUGACAUUACCCGCAGAAGAAGCACCGACUAACUCCGUGCCAGCAGCCGCGGUAAUACGGAGGGUGCAAGCGUUAAUCGGAAUCACUGGGCGUAAAGCGCACGCAGGCGGUUUGUUAAGUCAGAUGUGAAAUCCCCGGGCUCAACCUGGGAACUGCAUCUGAUACUGGCAAGCUUGAGUCUCGUAGAGGGGGGUAGAAUUCCAGGUGUAGCGGUGAAAUGCGUAGAGAUCUGGAGGAAUACCGGUGGCGAAGGCGGCCCCCUGGACGAAGACUGACGCUCAGUGCGAAAGCGUGGGAGCAAACAGGAUUAGAUACCCCUGGUAGUCCACGCCCGUAAACAUGUCGACUUGGAG
rnacentral:rRNA from 1 species